rnacentral:rRNA from 1 species
CGCAUCUGUGCAUGCAGCAUAUCAAUAAGCGGAGGAAAAGAAACUAACAAGGAUUCCCUCAGUAACGGCGAGUGAAGCGGGAAGAGCUCAAAUUUGAAAUCUUGAAAGGUCACCUUUCACGAAUUGUAGUUUAAAGAAGUGUUUUCUGUUACGAUCGUAAUAUAAGUUCUUUGGAAUAGGACAUCACAGAGGGUGAGAAUCCCGUCUAUGAUUGCGAUUUGUAGCUUUGUGAUACACUUUCAAAGAGUCGGGUUGUUUGGGAAUGCAGCCCAAAAUGGGAGGUAAAUUUCUUCUAAGGCUAAAUAUUGGCGAGAGACCGAUAGCGAACAAGUACCGUGAGGGAAAGAUGAAAAGAACUUUGAAAAGAGAGUUAAAUAGUACGUGAAAUUGUCAAAAGGGAAGCGUUUAACACCAGUGUUGUUUUCUGAAAAUCAACCUCUGUUAGCUUUAUGCAUGUUUGUUUAGACCUAAUCAGCUAUCUUGCAUGUUCUAUUGUUUGCAGUGGUGCACUUUUCAGUUUACAGGUCAACAUCAGUUUUUUUUACCGUAAAAAAGUUAAAGAAAGGUAGCUCAUGGCUCCGGUCGUGAGUGUUAUAGUCUUUUUCCUAUGCGGUAGGAGAGACUGAGGUCUGCAGUGUAGGCUAUUUGGCUAGAUACUCAGGUGCUAUGCGAUACCAUUUCAUAAACAACUUGUUGAUUAUGUCUUGUCUAUUGCAUACUCGCUUGUACUAUCAUACCUACGCUUAGGAUGUUGACGAUCAGCUGAGCGCG